AUCCUCCUGUUUCCUGCUCUAUCAGACUUAAUCAAAUGUCAGUGGUUAUAAAAGGAGGAAAAGUAAGACUGAAACUGACUUCAGAGUUUUGUGAUAAACACACUAGGAGAAAACAAAU
rnacentral:snoRNA from 1 species